rnacentral:rRNA from 1 species
UACGAAGGGUGCAAACGUUGCUCGGAAUUAUUGGGCGUAAAGCGCACGUAGGCGGCUUCGCAAGUCCCAUGUGAAAGCCCACGGCUUAACCGUGGAAGUGCAUGGGAAACUGCAGAGCUUGAGUACCGGAGAGGGUGGCGGAAUUCCCCAAGUAGAGGUGAAAUUCGUAAGAUAUGGGGAGGAACACCGGUGGGCGAAGGCGGCCACCUGGACGGAUGACUGACGCUGAGACGCGAAAGCGUGGGGAGCGAACAGG